GUUGUGGUGGCUGAGCGGUAAAGCGCUCGGCUUUUGAACCUGAGGUCCUGGGUUCGAAUCUCGGUGAAGACU
rnacentral:tRNA from 1 species